UUCACUCUGAUGUCCUCUCUUUAAGGUCUGCAAAGCAAAGCAAAAGAAGCUGUCUGAGGAAAUUUACUUGCAGUGAUUAAUGUAAAAAUAGAUCAACAGGAAAACACUUAAUUUUCUUUGGGAUGGGGAUGAAAGCAAUGGUUCUUGAUGUUGGCUGCAGAGUAGAAUCAUUAGGAGAGUUGUGAAAACUCCUAUUGCCUUGUUUCCUCCUUUUUGAGUAGUCAUCUAACUGGUCUAACAUAAGGAAGGAGGAUUUCUGAAUGCUCCUCAGUGAUUCAGAUGUGCAACCAAGGUUGAAAUCACUAGAAGGGACAGCUAAAAAGCUUGAAGUUUUAAUAGUUUUUAUUCUACCACAGUUGCAUUCAUUUUUAGAAGGAGUUUUUAAAAACAGCCAAUAUGCUUUCCAGGAACUUCUGUUCAUGCUUCACAAAAGUAGACUUUUCUAGUUCUCACAACCCCACAAGAAUUUUCUUAUUAUUUUAACCAUUGGAAAGAUAAGGAAAUUGAGACAUAGGGUUUGAAUAACUUGCCCAAGGCCACAUUGCUAGUAAACAGAAGAGCUGACAUUUAAACUCAGGUUUGGCUCCAAAGUCCUCUAUUUUGUUACAAAACCUCUUGUUUGUUUGCUGAGUCAUAAGGGAGGUAACAAUCUGGCUGCUUUCAACAUUGUCAGCACACAGGUAAAGAACUUCUUGUUAUUUCAGGGUCUCCAAAAACCAAGUUUAUGUCCUAAUAAGGGAAAAAAGAAGGGAGGGAGGGAAAAAACUGUUUAUAUAGUAAGAGCAGAAAGAAAAGUCAUAAAAUAAUCCUUCCCAAAAGAGAAUUAUAUAUCUUUAAAAAUAAAUGAAAUUUAAGCACCAUAAGGAAAAAUCACUAGAAAUAUAAAAUACAUUAAUCUCCCAACUAAAUAUGUUUACAGAAAAUUUGGAAAAGAUGUGAUCACCACAGUGACUUAGAAGGAACUGCCUAAGACAGCCUGGGCUUCUUUCUCUCCUCUGAAAGCAAGAUGUCCUUCAAGGCUUUUCGCAGUGAGUCAUAUUGUCCCUGAGGUAUAUAACAUACAGUGGCUUCCCUUCAGGGUCCCUAAGCUCCAGAGCUAGGGAGGUACACAAGUUGAGACUCUAUCUGCCUCAGGCAGCUUCCUGAGCCAUGGAAAACCAGUUCACAAUGGAGCCUAGACUUCUUUUGUCCAUUGCUGCCUAACUAUAAGUAAUUCAUCUGCUUUUCAUAACUUGUUGCGUUUUGAGAGUGUUUUUCUCUCACCAGACUCAGGCAAUUGGUAAAACUACAGCUUAAUGCACUGGAAGGAAGUAUUUGGACUCCUGUUUUGGGUGAAUGAUAGUAGCAGAGGCCUGGAAGCAUAACACCUUUGUUAGACUUUCUCAAGCUGUGGCCACCUUGGAAAAUUUGACAUUGUGUUGAAUUUGUCAUUCAAGACCUCAUUCUGUCACCGACCAGAGUAACCUCCUUGUCCUGCUAGUGGUCAACUAUGUCAGCAUAGUGAACACAGUGGAUCCUAAGCUGCUUUUAUCCCUCUAUGCCAUCUUUAAGUUAUAAACCUACUUACUAUAA